GUUGAUAGGACAGCACACAUCUGGAGGACAAGAAGAAGCUUGAGAAAUUUUGGAGUCUGUUCCACGUUGUUGCUAAGCACCAGGGAAGGGGAAAUCCCACAGUUGCAAAGCUUUCGCUUAAAACAGCUCGUAUCCUCAAGCCCUGACUCCUGUGAAUAUGCUUUUCUAAGCAGUGCCAUCUAAGAUACCUUGGAGGGUGAAUCCAUCUAAAAGUGCUCCUGCUUUAGUAAAAAGUGUUUGAUGGCAUGGCAGGGGUGAAAGGAUGAAGUCUUCUAAAGAAACCCGGCACGUUGGUGAACUGAGACAAGCAGUCAGGAGGGGCACUCCACUGCCACAGCAAUAGCCAUGGGAACAUUCCCUUCCAAUGCCAUUUCUUUGAGAAGACUGAUGAGGCUGCUAUCAAAAGUCACAGAGCAAUUAUCAGGAUUGAGAAAACAAUCUACAUACAGGUCCAGUGUCUUGAAUUCCAUUGAUUCUCUUUUUAAAUCUAGUACAUGGGUCAACUUCUAUAAAACACAACAAGAAAGAAAAGAUCCAUUGCCAGCCUUGAGAGUGAAUGAGCUCAGACACCAGCUAGGAAAUCCUUACAUCCAAAUCCCUUCUUAUAUCCAAAUGGCUUACAAUGUUCCUGGAGAGUGAGAUCAGGAGAACUCUCUUGUGAAGCAGCCAUGGAUCCAAAUCUAAGUCUGACUUUACACAGACUUGGCAAACAGUGAGAACUUCAAAUCCUUCAUGCUUGGCCAUCAAAAUGACCAAAAAGAGUGGGGAAUCUAAUAAGAAGGUCUAGAGAGGAAAGUGAUGGCUUCGUUCCCUGCAAAGCUGGUGAACUCCACGGGACAGAAUCCGCAUACAAGUAAGAAGGGCCCUCUGCAUAGCCGCGGCAGCUGAGCUGGGGAACUGAAACGACCAUCCCAGUAGCGGAGUCUGCAAUAGACGGUAGCUGGAACCAUGCAGCACUGGGAGGAACCCGCGGAGAGAAGAGCCACUGAAAUGAACACAUUGCCCUCUGUUUGCUUAUGCACAGUCACUUCAACAGUGGCCCUCCUUUGGCGCAAAACAAAUCUUUCACUGCACAUUUUGAAGUAAGAGCAAAGUGAGGCAUUCAACCAUCUCUGAGGUCCCCACCCCCGCGGGGUGGAGGGGUGAGGGGAGUCGGGUCUCAAGUGCUCUGGUCGAUUCUGGGAUAUCAGACAUACAAAUCUUCUAAUGAAAAUGCAAUGGCCCUUGAGCCAUUCUGGCUCCAGGAUACUGUAAUAUUCUCCUUUAUAAGGAGGGGUGAGCCAGAGAUGAGCCUUCUAAAAAGAGCAAGGAAGGAUUCUUGAACACAAGGAGCCAAGAUUCUAGGACAACAUGAAUGUGAAAGCUGUAAAGACGGACAGAGCUAUUCUUUUGUCAAGGAAUAAAAGGAAAUUC